rnacentral:rRNA from 1 species
GAUGAACGCUGACAGAAUGCUUAACACAUGCAAGUCAACUUGAAUUUGGGUUUUUAACUUAGAUUUGGGUGGCGGACGGGUGAGUAACGCGUAAAGAACUUGCCUCACAGCUAGGGACAACAUUUAGAAAUGAAUGCUAAUACCUGAUAUUAUGAUUUUAAGGCAUCUUAGAAUUAUGAAAGCUAUAAGCACUGUGAGAGAGCUUUGCGUCCCAUUAGCUAGUUGGAGAGGUAACAGCUCACCAAGGCGA